AGUAGCUGGCAAAAUUAUCAUUGGUAAUACAUAUAUUAACCUUGAGGAUUCAGGAUAUUUGACAAAAAGUCAAAAACAAAAGUAAAGAGUAGCAACCAUCCUUAAAUCUCUUCUAUUAUAUAAAACAUAUAACUACAAAUUGUUAAGAUGAAAAACUCUGAUUGCACUUAUAAAAGGUCCUGACCGCAACCUCGUUUCAUGGAUCAGUGAUUAAGGUUUAAGUUAAGUGGUCAAGUCUGUAUCUCAGAUACUAUAAGCAAUAAGUCGACCAUAUUUGGUGUUAAAGUGUAUGUGAUACUUGCAGUAAAACCUUUAUACUACAGACUUCCAACAUAUAUUCAAUCAUAAGUAAAGCAGGCUAGACAUACCAGUGUAUGCACUCUAGAAUGGAGUGACGUCUCUCUCAAAAAGAAUUAAAUUAAAACAAAUAAAAAUUGUAGUUGAAAAUGUCUAACGGUAGCAAAAACAGGUAAAUGUGUAUUUUUA
rnacentral:lncRNA from 1 species